GCUCCUGUAGUGUAGCCCGGCAACCUUUUGCGAAAAGCUUGACCAAAAGCGUGAGAGCUGAACGCGAGCGUUCUCGUAAGCAACUUUCCUCGCUUCGCUCGUCAAGCCCACAGAAAAAGGUUGGGCAAACAAUCAUACUGGCCUCUCGCGCCGGUGACCCGAGUUCAAAUCUCGGCAGGAGCA
rnacentral:tRNA from 1 species